CUUCAUAUUGGAGGGGGUGGCAAAUGGCAACAUAGCGAUCAUAGGACAUGACAGUGAGAAAGGCCAGCUCAGCAGAUGCAAAAGCAAAGAAAAAAUAGACUUGAGCCACACAGCCAAGGAGAGAGUUCAGUUUGAGGAGAAACUUCCCAAGAGAUGUGAGGAUACAUAGAGUGCAGGAGUAUAAGAGUUCUUGCUUCAGCCCCCUGUGUAUUCCAAGACUGUCAAAGGCCAGAGGAGCAUGAUUACACUGGAUGUGGGAGAGAAGAAGAGAGUAUGAGCAAGCUGGAGGGAGAGGCAGAAAAAAGAAACAAACUCCCCACUGAGCAGGACCUUUGGGACCUGGUGUUCCUGCCUGCUGGCAAUUGGAUCUAUCUUCUAGUCUCUCUUGAGGACAAGAGACGUUUACAUACCUACAAUCAACAGAGAUUUAUACCCAACACCAUGGGAAAUUAUUCUCUCCUUAAUGGAAUUCUCUCCUCAACAUUUAAUCUUUUCUUUUGUGCCCUGAAGAACAAAGACAUGAAGAGAAGAUAAUCAUUUGCUGCAGAUCUAAAUAUUCUGCCAGAUAGAUCCACAGAAUCCUCUAAUGUUCACUGAAUUAAAAUAAUGUAUUCUGGAAAAUAA